CCUCACUGCCGCCCGGAGCUGUCAUUGGCCGGCUGAAGCAGUGACGUAGAACGACCGGUGCUCACCCCCGCGCCUUAGUGGGAAUUGUAGUUUUAUUCCUGCUAAGCGGGAGUCGCCAUGCUGGCGGUCCUCCGCGAGCCGACUACAGAGACCAGGCGCCAUUGCGAACCAGGCGCAGCCGAAGCUGAAAUGCGGUGCCUCUGUUUAUUUGUUGAUUUCUUGCACUGAGAACGACGGGAGUUGUAUGCGCUUGCAUGACACAACUAGGAAUAACUUUUCACCUGUUCUUUGCUGUGACUCCAUGUCCCGGCAUUUGUGAGUCAUGGGUAUCAGGUAGUGCUUAGCAAAUAGUAAAGAUUCUAAACGCUGGAAUAAUCAGCAAAGUUCGGCCAAUUCGGAUUGUUUAAAACAGAACUCUCUGCUGGAACUUAGCCUCAGGAUGCACUCUCGUUAGAAACGGGAUAUCUGUUUGGUUUCCCUCCAGCUUUAAGGUAGUUUGUCCUGAGACUGCGGCUUGAAUCUCUCAAGGCUUUAAAACCAUGACAUUCUGCUAAAAUUGAGGAGGGCCUGAGUGGAAGGGCUAAAUCCAAGGGGUGGUGGUUGCAGUAUGGACAUCCUUCCUCAGCUUCCUGUGUUGAAGAGCAGGCCUUCAGCCUUCAGCCUCUCACUACACUCCGCACUGACAGACUGAGACAUUCUACAGACUCCAGCUGCUUGAGUGAGCCCUGAGUUCCUCAGGUCUAGUUGUCAGACAUGACUGACAUGAACCUUCUCUGUAGUUAAUAUGGUGUUGGUGAGCUUCUUGUUCAUAUGUACGAUAUUUUCCCUGUUGUUGAACUUAAAACAGUCUCCCACAGUACAGAACAUAUCUAUAUCAGAUAACAUUCCCAGCUGUCUCCUGAAGAUCUAGUUCUUAAUAUUUUAUGUAUUAUGGCCUUUUUUCUCCAUUAAAAGAUGGUUGCUAAGCAAAGAUAUCCAUAGUAGGCUUAAAAAGUCCAAAACUAAAAAUUAAUUAUAUUUACAAAUUUAUUUUAGAGAAACUGAAAAUCAUAAAAUAGCUCAAUCUAUGUAAAAUUUUUCAUUUUUUCAUCCAUGGUAGAAUUUGGUAUAAUUUCCUUGGAAUCAAUUUGCUAAUGGGAAAGCAAAUUCAUGAUAUUAACUUGAUAUACAUUCAUUUAUGAGAAAUUAUGAAAUUUUCUAAUGUCACAAUGGGAAAUAAAUAAAAAUAGCUAAAUCCA